rnacentral:snoRNA from 1 species
GGUAAUUGACAGGUGCAAAAAUAAACCCUCUUUUGCAACCCAGAACUCAAUGUUCAGUAUGAGUUUCGAUCCAUACAAGAAAGGAUGUA